CAAUGAAGGAAGCAUGAUAAUGUGCACAUAAAUUGAAUUGGGUCUCUAAGUCUACCUUCUCUGAUGCCAUUCAGCUUUGAUUUGAGGGCAUGGUUCCGUAGCAAAACA